rnacentral:rRNA from 1 species
AGUGAACGCUGGCGGUAGGCCUAACACAUGCAAGUCGAACGGCAGCACAGUAAGAGCUUGCUCUUACGGGUGGCGAGUGGCGGACGGGUGAGGAAUACAUCGGAAUCUACUUUUUCGUGGGGGAUAACGUAGGGAAACUUACGCUAAUACCGCAUACGACCUACGGGUGAAAGCAGGGGAUCUUCGUACCUUGCGCGAUUGAAUGAGCCGAUGUCGGAUUAGCUAGUUGGCGGGGUAAAGGCCCACCAAGGCGACGAUCCGUAGCUGGUCUGAGAGGAUGAUCAGCCACACUGGAACUGAGACACGGUCCAGACUCCUACGGGAGGCAGCAGUGGGGAAUAUUGGACAAUGGGCGCAAGCCUGAUCCAGCCAUACCGCGUGGGUGAAGAAGGCCCUCGGGUUGUAAAGCCCUUUUGUUGGGAAAGAAAAGCAGCAGGUUAAUACCCCGCUGUUCUGACGGUACCCAAAGAAUAAGCACCGGCUAACUUCGUG